rnacentral:rRNA from 1 species
GCAGUCGAACGAUUAAAGCUUCCUUCGGGAAGUGCAUAAAGUGGCGCACGGGUGAGUAACACGUAAGUAAUCUACCCUCGAGUGGGGAAUAACGUUCGGAAACGGACGCUAAUACCGCAUAAUGCAGCGGCACCGCAAGGUGACAGUUGUUAAAGAUUUAUUGCUUGAGGAGGAGCUUGCGGCAGAUUAGCUAGUUGGUAAGGUAAUGGCUUACCAAGGCUACGAUCUGUAUCCGGUCUAAGAGGACGGUCGGUCACACUGACACUGAAUAACGGGUCAGACUCCUACGGGAGGCAGCAGUCGGGAAUUUUGGGCAAUGGGGGAAACCCUGACCCAGCAACGCCGCGUGAAGGAUGAAGUAUUUCGGUAUGUAAACUUCGAAAGAAUAGGAAGAAUUAAUGACGGUACUAUUUAUAAGGUCCGGCUAACUACGUGCCAGCAGCCGCGGUAAUACGUAGGGACCAAGCGUUGUUCGGAUUUACUGGGCGUAAAGGGCGCGUAGGCGGCGCGGUAAGUCACUUGUGAAAUCUCUGAGCUUAACUCAGAACGGCCAAGUGAUACUGCAGUGCUAGAGUGUGGAAGGGGCAAUCGGAAUUCUUGGUGUAGCGGUGAAAUGCGUAGAUAUCAAGAGGAACACCUGAGGUGAAGACGGGUUGCUGGGCCAACACUGACGCUGAGGCGCGAAAGCCAGGGGAGCAAACGGGAUUAGAUACCCCGGUAGUCCUGGCCCUAAACGAUGAAUACUUGGUGUCUGGAGUUUUAAUGCUCCGGGUGCCGUCGCUAACG